AUUGAACGCUGGCGGCAGGCCUAACACAUGCAAGUCGAGCGGAUGAAGGGAGCUUGCUCCUGGAUUCAGCGGCGGACGGGUGAGUAAUGCCUAGGAAUCUGCCUGGUAGUGGGGAUUACGUCCGGAAACGGGCCCUUAUACCCCCUUCGUCCUUAGGGAGUAAGUUGGUGAUUUUUUGUCCUUCCGCUUUUCUGUUAGCCUAUGUCGGAUUAGCUAGUUGGUGGGGUAAAGGCCUACCAAGGCGACGAUCCGUAACUGGUCUGAGAGGAUGAUCAGUCACACUGGAACUGAGACACGGUCCAGACUCCUACGGGAGGCAGCAGUGGGGAAUAUUGGACAAUGGGCGAAAGCCUGAUCCAGCCAUGCCGCGUGUGUGAAGAAGGUCUUCGGAUUGUAAAGCACUUUAAGUUGGGAGGAAGGGCAGUAAGUUAAUACCUUGCUGUUUUGACGUUACCAACAGAAUAAGCACCGGCUAACUUCGUG
rnacentral:rRNA from 1 species